GCAUCGAUGAAGAACGCAGCGAAAUGCCGAUAAGUAAUGUGAAUUGCAGAAUUUCAGUGAAUCAUCGAAUCUUUGAACGCACAUUGCGCCCAUGUAGUAUUCUAGUGGGCAUGCCUGCUCGAAGCGUCAUU
rnacentral:rRNA from 1 species